rnacentral:rRNA from 1 species
UUCCGGUUGAUCCUGCCGGACCCGACUGCUAUCGGAUUGAGAUUUAGCCAUGCGAGUCGAACGUCCCCCUGUUGCGGGGGGCGUGGCGUACGGCUCAGUAACACGUAGUCAACCUGCCCUGGAGACAAGGACAACCCCGGGAAACUGGGAUUAAUCCUUGAUAGGUCAUCUCAUCUGGAAGGAGAGAUGGCUUAAAGGGGUACGCGGGCUUCUUCUGCGUAUUCGCUCCAGGAUGGGACUGCGUCCGAUCAGGCUGUUGGCGGGGUAAUGGCCCACCAAACCUGUAACCGGUACGGGCCUUGAGAGAGGUGGCCCGGAGAUGGACACUGAGAGAAGGGUCCAGGUCCUACGGGGCGCAGCAGGCGCGAAACCUUCGCAAUGCGCGAAAGCGUGACGAGGUUAAUCCGAGUGACUCCCGCUGAGGGGGUCUUUUGUCAGCUGUAAAUAGGCAGGCGAAUAAGGGGAGGGCAAGCCUGGUGUCAGCCGCCGCGGUAAUACCAGCUCCUCGAGUGGUCGGGGCGAUUAUUGGGCCUAAAGCAUCCGUAGCCGGUUCCGUAGGUCCUCUGUUAAAUCCAACCGCUCAACGGUUGACCUGCAGAGGAUACCGCGGGACUAGGAGGCGGGAGAGGCGGACGGUAUUCCGCGUGUAGGGGUAAAAUCCUUUGAUCCGCGGAGGACCACCAGUGGCGAAAGCGGUCCGCCAGAACGCGCUCGACGGUGAGGGAUGAAAGCUGGGGGAGCGAACCGGAUUAGAUACCCGGGUAGUCCCAGCCGUAAACGAUGCUAGCUAGAUGAUCCAGUCGCAAAUCGCGACUGGAG